UAGUAUUCUAUAGCCAGAGCGUAAAUGCGCGGCGAUAAACCCUACACACAUAGUCUAGUUUUUUUGAAAUUUGCUUUGGGUGCAUCAGCCCAGGUGCGCGCCCAAAGGUUUAAACACAUUUUUUUUAAUGUUAAAACCUUUAACCAAUAGUCAUGAAAAUUUUUAACAAAAAUUAAAAUCUUCAAAACUUUCAACAACGGAUCUCUUGGUUCUCGCAACGAUGAAGAACGCAGCGAAAUGCGAUACGUAUUGUGAAUUGCAGAUUUUCGUGAAUCAUCGAAUCUUUGAACGCACAUUGCACCCUCUGGUAUUCCAGAGGGUAUGCCUGUUUGAGCGUCAUUUCUCUCUCAAACCUUCGGGUUUGGUAUUGAGUGAUACUCUGUCAAGGGUUAACUUGAAAUAUUGACUUAGCAAGAGUGUACUAAUAAGCAGUCUUUCUGAAAUAAUGUAUUAGGUUCUUCCACUCGUUAUAUCAGCUAGGCAGGUUUAGAAGUAUUUUAGGCUCGGCUUAACAACAAUAAACUAAAAGUUGACCUCAAAUCAGUUAGGAAUGCCCGGUGGCUUAUCAAUAAGCGGAGGA
rnacentral:rRNA from 1 species